UACAGAGGGGGCAAGCGUUGUUCGGAAUUACUGGGCGUAAAGGGCGCGUAGGCGGCCCGCUAAGUCGAACGUGAAAUCCCCGGGCUCAACCCGGGAACUGCGUCCGAUACUGGCAGGCUUGAAUCCGGGAGAGGGAUGCGGAAUUCCAGGUGUAGCGGUGAAAUGCGUAGAUAUCUGGAGGAACACCGAUGGCGAAGGCAGCCCCCUGGGCUAACACUGACGCUCAUGCACGAAAGCGUGGGGAGCAAACAGG
rnacentral:rRNA from 1 species